rfam:Glycine max cultivar Williams 82 chromosome 4, whole genome shotgun sequence.
AAUGGACGAGACAAAGGAUCGCAAUCCCGCGAGGAUGAGCUAACUCCAAAAACACGUUCUCAGUUCGAACUGUAGGCUGCAACUCGCAUGCAUGAAG